rnacentral:tRNA from 1 species
GUUAAGGUGGCAGAGUGAGUGCAUAGGAUUUAAGAUCCUAAUAGGAAUUAUAUAUAAUUUUCUUAAUA